rnacentral:rRNA from 1 species
UAGGGAAUAUUGGACAAUGGGCGAAAGCCUGAUCCAGCAAUGCCGCGUGAAUGAUGAAGGCCUUAGGGUUGUAAAGUUCUUUUAGUAGGGAAGAUAAUGACGGUACCUACAGAAAAAGCCCCGGCUAACUCCGUGCCAGCAGCCGCGGUAAGACGGAGGGGGCUAGCGUUGUUCGGAAUUACUGGGCGUAAAGAGCGCGUAGGCGGAUUAGUAAGUUGGGAGUGAAAUCCCGGGGCUUAACCUCGGAACAGCUUUCAAAACUGCUAGUCUUUGAGUGUAGUAGGGGAUGAUGGAAUUCCUAGUGUAGAGGUGAAAUUCUUAGAUAUUAGGAGGAACACCGGUGGCGAAGGCGGUCAUCUGGGCUACAACUGACGCUGAGGCGCGAAAGCGUGGGGAGCAAACAGG